UAUAUUCAGUAGAGUUGAUAUCCAUUGCCAAAUGAAAAAGCACGAAUGGCCAUUUUGAGUCGCUUGGUGACAUGAUGAUUCGAGGAGCAUGACCGGCAAACCUACCUUCAGUUUUAACUUAUGGUCUGGUAUUCCUGGGGACGUUAAGGUGUUGAGGAGCUCAGUAGGCUGCAUGUUCAUCAUGAUGUUGGUAUUUGUCGUUGCCUUGCACACUGUGUCCAGGCUUA